rnacentral:rRNA from 1 species
AUUGAACGCUGGCGGCAUGAUUUACACAUGCAAGUCGAACGGUAACAGGCCGCAAGGUGCUGACGAGUGGCGAACGGGUGAGUAAUGCAUCGGAACGUGCCCAGUCGUGGGGGAUAACUACUCGAAAGAGUAGCUAAUACCGCAUACGAUCUAUGGCUGAAAGCGGGGGACCGUAAGGCCUCGCGCGAUUGGAGCGGCCGAUGUCAGAUUAGGUAGUUGGUGGGGUAAAGGCUCACCAAGCCAACGAUCUGUAGCUGGUCUGAGAGGACGACCAGCCACACUGGGACUGAGACACGGCCCAGACUCCUACGGGAGGCAGCAGUGGGGAAUUUUGGACAAAGGGCGCAAGCCUGAUCCAGCAAUGCCGCGUGCAGGAAGAAGGCCUUCGGGUUGUAAACUGCUUUUGUACGGAACGAAACGGCUCUGGUUAAUACCCGGGGCUAAUGACGGUACCGUAAGAAUAAGCACCGGCUAACUACGUG